rnacentral:rRNA from 1 species
ACGAACGCUGGCGGCGUGCCUAAUACAUGCAAGUCGAACGGUCUUUCUAUGGAAGCUUGCUUCCACUGAGAAGAUAGUGGCGAACGGGUGAGUAACACGUGGGUAACCUGCCCAUAAGAGGGGGAUAACAUCCGGAAACGGGUGCUAAUACCGCAUAGUUUUCUUGAUCGCAUGAUUGAGAAAGGAAAGACGGCCUUUGUGCUGUCGCUUAUGGAUGGACCCGCGGCGUAUUAGUUAGUUGGUGAGGUAAUGGCUCACCAAGACGAUGAUACGUAGCCGACCUGAGAGGGUGAUCGGCCACAUUGGGACUGAGACACGGCCCAAACUCCUACGGGAGGCAGCAGUAGGGAAUCUUCCGCAAUGGACGAAAGUCUGACGGAGCAACGCCGCGUGAGUGAAGAAAAGGUUUUCGGAUCGUAAAACUCUGUUGUCAGAGAAGAACAAGUUGGAGAGUAACUGCUCCAGCCUUGACGGUAUCUGACCAGAAAGCCACGGCUAACUACGUGCCAGCCGCUGC